rnacentral:rRNA from 1 species
AUCUCUCUUUGUAAUUUAUAUAUAAGGAGUUGGGCCUGCUCGGUGAAAAUUUUAACAGCUGCGGUAUUUUAACUGUACUAAGGUAGCAUAAUAAUUUGCCUUAUAAUUUGAGGCUAGAAUGAAUGGUUUGACGAAGGUUAAUCUGUCUCUAUUUUAUUUCUUAGAAAUUAAUUUUCAUAGUGAAAAAGCUUGAAUUCUUUAAAGGGACGAGAAGACCCUACUGAGCUUAUAAUUUUACUAUUAUUAUAACUAUGUAUUGUUAUAGUAAUAUAUAAAUUUUAAUUGGGGUGAUUAAGGAAUAAAGUAUAUUAGUUAGUAACUUCCUUAGUAGGAUAUAUUGUUGAAUAAAGUAACCGAUAUUACGUAUAGAACCGUAUAUUGCUUAUAAUAUAGUUACCAUAGGGAUAACAGCGUAAUUUAUUUAGAGAGUUCUUAUUGAAAAAUAAGAUUGCGACCUCGAUGUUGGAUUAAAGUAACCUUAAGGUGCAGAAGCUUUAAUAGGUAAUCUGUUCGAUUUUAAACUUUA